UUCAGCUUUCUCUCUCUACGUCUCUCCCAAAAUAGCCCCGCCGCAGGCCAUUGGAACCCCAUUCUUCACCAAAAUUUCCAGAUUUUCUUCUCUUCAUCCCCUCUUUCCAUUUCUCCAACCAAAAUCAAGAAAUUUGGCCAUUUAAUCCUCCAAAACCCCUAGAACCCGAAGCCAAUUUCGGGGUUUUUGUGAUUUCUUCUUUCCAAGUUCAAAUCAAGAGGCUAGGUUACGGGUUUGGCAAGGAUUUGUGGUGAAGAAGGCCAAGGAGGAGGAUUAGGCCAUGAGUUUUGAAGAAGAAAGGGAAACACGAUCGUUAAUGAAGCUUAAGCGGAAAGCAUCAGAGUGUGGAAUACGCCGGCAUUUUCCAGGUAAGGUUACAACGAGGUCAUUCCGGACGAUUUGGAUUAGAAGUGGGUCGUUGGCCGAGUCCGUGUGUUGCUUAAAGUUCUUCCCUGUUGGUACUUUAUCGAUUUACUCGCUUCUCUUUCAAUGUUGAACUCUGUGAGGUCCGCCUACCUAGGAGCGCGCCUCACCCCUUUGUUUUAUUGUUAUUGUUGAACUCCUUUCAUUUCGGUUAUGAUGUAAGCCUUAAGGCGUCACAGUGCACUUGCCCACUUUAUUUUGAAGCAUUUCCAGACUUGUUAAUUUGAAUGUUGGGUUGUUGAUUUAAAGUC